UUUACGUUAUUUCAAAAAAUUCGUUUUAAUGAAUUAUCGUUUACAACGAUCGGAGAAUUUGGUGAUCGCUUGGACGAAAAGCGGUUCGUUCUCCCAUUACGGGUUUCGUUGUUGUUGUUUCCCAUUCAAAGAUCGUUCGAAACGUCAAAAAAAUCGGAAAGGAUUAUAAAACGAAGAAUAAAAACCGUAAAAAAAUCCUGCAAAGUCGUAAUUUUUCUCAGUGUUUCUAGCUGCGCCUGAAAAUCAUGACGAAAUUAUUGAGAAAUUGGUAAGCGAUUGAAAAAGUGUUCGCUCUAGUUGCUCCCUUAGGUGGGUCCAUUUUUUUCUUCGCAUUGCGGCAUCGUGUUGCCCGAAGGGAAAAAAUGCUGAGCGGUAGAAACCCAAAACCUGCAUCUCAAAAGACAAGUAUCCUCAGCCGCGAGUUUGAAGAGCAACGUGCGCUGCGUGCUGGUUAUUCUCCUUCGUCUGCACGGCAGAGGCGAGUUCUCAAGGAUGACGCAGGACCAAAAGCAGAGGGACGAGGCUGGAAGAAUGCUGAAAAACGAUGUCGAAACGAUGGCCGAUUUGAGUUUAUUUCAUUAACGGAAAUUCCAUUCGAUUAAUUCGCAAAUGAUUGUUUGUUUUCGAGCAACUUCGGUCGCUGAAACUUGAAUUAUUCGAAGGGCGAGAGACGAUAAGAAUUUGCGAGGUCGUGAAAAUACGAGCAAACGAGUCUGAGGCUCGCAAAACGUAAAAAUCACGUGAGAAAAUCGUCUCGGCGGACAAUCGUGAAAAAUGUUGUGAAGAGAUUCAGUCGAAAUAAGCGCAGUGGCCGAAACAACUUUAUUCACGGGGAAGUGCUGGGUUCCGAAUCCGAGGCAGUGACUAUUAAAUGGUCCUAAAGACAGUAAUGGAAGGAGAGAAUGACCAGGCGAGAAGUUUCGUUGAGUUUUUUAGUCGAGCGCGCAACGAGGACGACGAGGACCAAGUGGCUCGAGGAGGGCGGCCAGGGGAGCCAUAAAUCGUGCCUGUACGCUGUUGCAAUGCCGAGAGCCUAGACAUCGACAACGAGCACUUGAGUCGUAGGAAAAAAACGGAGAGUGGAAAAAAGAAUUGAGAGAAAAAGAUGGAGGGAGAGAGGAAUAUAAAACGAUAAAGAGAACUUGACGCCAAACCUCGCUGUAUAGUCGUUAAUACCGAUCUCCCAAUAUGACUUUUAUGGAGUAAACAAAAGUGUCUGUCCACGAGCUAAGCAUAGAGUUGCCUAUCGAGACACUCUCCUCCGGCUGAAUUUCUGGGAGUGCUAAUUGGAGUCAUGGAAUUAGUGACGAGCGAGUCGUCACACGAUGAAGCUCGAAAGAUCUUUGGGAUCGAACUCGAUCGCCGUGCAUCGGUGGAAAUGUAGUUUCUCCGGAGAUGCGAUUCGAAAAGUAAAAACAGUAAUAUCUGCUGGGCAUUUGGGAGAGGAAGGAAAAGUGUCGAGCGCCACGAUUCAUCGGGGUUGGUUGAAAUGAUAAGGAAAAAGGAGAAUCGCUCGAGCAGCACCGUCAACCCUCUGACCCUCGAUUGCCCUCGCGUGGCUACUCGGAUCGAUACUUUAUUUGGCCUACGUAAUGGCGUAACUGAGCGCGUAUGUUCCCGGAGGAGCGGAAGCGUGUCCACGUUAUAGGAUAUAUUUGGUGGCGCGUACGAGUGUAUUCAGGGCGGCCAUUACUCUUGGAUACGCGCGGGAUGACACAGAGGGCCGUAUCUGCCGCGAUGCGGACAACUUAAUUACCAUGGGGUCAAGCACGGAAUCUCGGAUUACAUAAUUAACGGCCUCGAGAAGGCUUUGCAGGUGAAACAGGAACUGGAAAUUUCCGGUUAACCGGAAACCACGUGAUCGCUGGAGGGCUGCAAUGGCGCGUCACUUCCGCAGGGCAGAGAUUUCGCCUCGGCGUAAUCGCAGUUGAGGACGAUUGUGCUCGCCCCGGUGUGGCGAUGCAACCGAGUCUGGUCCCUUAGCGACCCUUUUGCAUGCGGCGACAUCUCCUCAACGCUGCUCGCCAUUUCCAAACAGAUUUUUAUCGCUAUUUUCUCACCGAAAAUCAAACCGUUGCCAAAAAGCAAUGUUCGCCUACUGGACGAAGGACCGUGAGAAAAGUGAUUUUAUUGCUCCAGAAAAGGGCAUCGAUAUUGUCAUCGUUUUAUUGCGCUACAGUCCUCGCCCAAAUUAGCUAAAUACACAGAGGAACGGCAGCAGCGGCAACACCAGUCCGGAGACAAGCCAAUGGCGUUCGAGGCACGUGAUGGGUCUCCGCAGGUGCACCCGGGCGACCCGAACCUCAAAUCGCACCUGCUGUUGCUGCUGUUCACGGUUCUUACUUACAUAGACUCUUCGGUACGGACCACUGGACGUUGUAUACCAGCAGCCUUCUUACCUGCGAGUCUUGUUUGUCUCCUCGAGGAGGCGAUUUUCAGACAAACCGCAAACUUCAUAAUACGCCGCUUGUAAAUAAUGGGCGUUCAUUAAGGUACUUCAUGCACGAAACGAUUUUCUUAAGGAAGUCUUGAAAUUUACACCCAAUUUAAAUGGCUAGUCGACUGACACUCAUAUCAAAUUUUGAAGGCUUCGUUCUGUUGAUUAUUGAGAUAAAUGUGUUUAAAUAUGAAGAAAAAUACACAGGCUUGUAGGGACCAUUUGUAAAAAAUCGUUAAUCUUUCCAUGUAACGAAUAAACGCUUCUUAUCGAAGUUUAUGAAACAGUA
rnacentral:lncRNA from 1 species